AAUCUUUCGUUAUUUUGAAAAUAGUUAAUUACUUUUCGUAUUAAAUAGAGUAGUUUACAUGCAGAAUUAAUACAUUAAUUUACACGUUGCUAGCAUUUUCAAGGUAUUUGUAUAACUUUUUUGUUUUCAAAAGGUUUUUCUUUUAUUUCCCUACACGUUCCUUUGGAAUUGCAGAAAAGCUGGGUAGCACUCUAACUAAGAGUUGCACCGAUAAAUAACAAAUUUUUAAUAUUGUUUCGGGAUUCUUGGAGCCAUUGAAGUAAAAGGAGAUAAUAUCGAGAUCAGAGAGAAACGUGUUUGCGUUUUGAAUUUUUGUUUGGUAAGUUACUAUUUUGAGCAUUUAUAACAAAAACUUCAUUUGCUUGUCACAACUAGGAAUCGUAUUUUUAAUUUCACUUGUGUCAUUAAUUUAAAACAAAAUUAUACAGCUUCAGAAAAUAGUGGUAAGUAGUAAAAAUUGCAUAUGUUUAUUGUUAGAACCAACAAUAACUAUAAACGUAACUGUAACUCUAUAUUUUCAUCAUUAUUAGGAAAUAUAAUUGACAUACUCUAAAUUUUUUCAACUCAAAUUCGAGAUUAAAAAUUUUACAACCUCUAACUCGUUUUUUGAAGUUUAUCAGUUUCUUUUAAUCUAGUUUCAUCACCUUUGAAGAUGGUUAUUACUUAUUUACUUUCUUCUAUUGAAAUUCCAGUGUAAACAUAAUUUCCAACAAAAUACUUUGUUAUCAAAAUUAUAGUUUUCCUAUAUUGGCAAUAUCGAAGGUACAUAGAAUCGAAAAAAUUAUAGAUACUUAAUGUUAUCUAUGGUUUAUUUUCUAUUUUUUCAGGUAUAGGUAGAUGGGAUAUUGAAAUACAGGAUGAUUAUUAUAAUUUUUAUUUUGUUUUUGAUAUUUUAUAACUAUAUCCACAAACAAAACAUUUUCCUUCACACUUUAGCAGGCUUAGGACUGUCAACAGUGAGAUGUUGGCAUGUUAAAAAAUGUUUCUGUUUGUACAUGGUACAUACAAUGGUAUAUAAAAAACUGAUUUUAUAACCAUGGUUAAUUAAUGGUUACCUUUGUCUUUCUUGCAGCUUUAUAUUUAACAUAUGCCAUAUCAUCACAUAUAGUCUUUAUAUUGUUGAUCUUUGCCCUUCAAAAUUUUAUUAAUAAUACCUAUGUAAUGGAAGAUGCAUAUGUUAAAACUAAUAUUUACAAAUGUAUUUACAUAAUCCUUAUUUUAUCAGGAAAACUUUUAAAAAUAUCACAGAAUUUUGCUGAAGGCGCACAUAAAACAUUACAUUUGAUUAGAAUUUACUUUCUAAAAGUUAUGAAUAAGUGUUUUUGAAUGAAUAAUUAUAACUUUAGAAAUAUUGUUUCGUUUCCAUAUUUUCACUUAUUGCUUUUUUCUCGUACCAACUAGAUGUAGGUAAUGACUACGAUUUGUUUGCUGAAUCCCAAUUUAAAGGUUUUUAUGGAAAAAUGAUGGGUUGUGAAUUAAUGACGAGCUUACUUACAAAUCGUUCCCAUUUGGUACAUAUUCCUUCAGGAUGACUAAUUGGCACAAUCCCAGUUAUUAUAUGAAAUUACAACUACACUAUCUAUGAAGAUCACAUAAUAUAUUGAGGUUUUUAUGGAGAAAUGAUGGGAUAUGAAUUAAUGACGAGUAUACCACAAAUCAUUCCCAUUUGGUACAUAUUCCUUCAGGAUGAAUAAUUGAAACAAUCCCAGUUACUUCUCCAGGGUUCUCAGCGACCUGGAAAGUCAGGGAAUUGCAAAAUGGUUAGGGAAAGUCAGGGAAAUUUGGAAAUAUUCUCAAAAAGUCAGGGAAAUUUACAAAAAAUUUCAAAAAGUCAGGGAAAAUCCUAAAAUAAAGUAAAAUCUGGAGUAACUCCAGAUUUUAGAAUAUCAAUCUGAAGCUAAUUGAAAAUGCUUUUAAAUUAAUUUAAUGCGUGCAUUUAUUGAAGCUCAAAUUUGAAAUACUGGUUUUGUCUUUUAUAAAAUAAAUAAUUUUUUUUAAUUAGAACAAUUAAAAUUUUGAAAUAUUCGAUUUUUGUCUGUGAAUGGUACCCAUAUUUUGUAUCUGAUUGUAUAUUUUAUCAAUAAUAGCAUAAAAAAUGUCUGAUCUGGAUUUAUAGUUGAAUGAAAUUUUUAAAAUACUAUUUUUCAUAGUAUUAACCAUGAAAAACUUCCUAUAUGAUACAAAACACAUGGGUCAUUAAGUUUCUAAUCUAAUAAACAAAAAACAGCUUUUUGGGAACGAUUUUUUUUCUCGUAUUUAGUUUCCAUAAAGACUUCUCCUUAUGGAUAUUUUUCCCUUUUUUCAGGUAUAAAAGCCUAGAAAUCAGAUUUGGGGAAAAUAAUUUCGAUUUUUGAUUAUUUGAAUUAUAUAAUUGGUUUUCUUAUUAUCUUUGUGGAACUGAAUUUUCCUUGUUCAGUGGGUGGAGCUGUAACUUUGUGAUUUCCUUGUUCAAUUACUCCAAUAAUUUUCAGUAAUAGUCACUAAUGAAAGAAGUUUUUCCAUAUUCAUCAUGAUUUUCAGGAAUUUUUUCAUGUUAUUUAGUAUAACUUCAUAUUUUGGUUGUACUGAUCGUUGAACAUCAUUGGUGCUUCUAUAAUCACAUUCAAAAUCUCGCAUUAUCAAUGAUUUUCCUGGAGAAAAGUCGCCUUUACAAGUCAAACCUCCACCUUCACUUCCAGAUAUGUUUUUUUUUCAUUAUUCCAAAAAGUUUUUUCAUUUAGAAAAUUAUGACUAAUGAACCCCAUUGGAGAGUCUGAUCAUAAAAUUUGAUAAUUGUCAUUUAAAAGUUGGUUCUUCUAAGAAAAAAAAUUAAAAAUAUGAUAGCUGAGAAUAGAGAUUUAUUGAUCAAUGUUUUAUUUGGAUUCGAAUCAUUGUAAUUUCAUAUCACUGUAUUUUGUCAAAAUUUUUAAUUAGCACAAUUUUUUUAUCAGUAGUUAAUGCUUCAAAAAAUGUACAAACCUCAAAUUUUCUUCACCUUUUGUAUAACUGGUGGGCAGUAGAAUGAUGGAAACUCUCCUUUUUUGAGCUCACACCAAACUAUCAAUUUUUACUAAAGUAGAUUUUUUAUAAUACUAAAAUAAUUUUCACAUUAGGUUUGAAUAUUUCAAAUAUCUAUGAUUUUGUUCAUAUUCAAUCAGUUUUUCUCUAUUUCCAAACAAUUCAUGAAUAUUCGACGCUUUUUUUAAGUAAUUCAAUAUAAAUGUAAAAUAGUAGAUAAAAAAUUUAUUUCUCAUUUGAGUUAUGACACAAACCCAAGUCCAGGAUCAAUGUAGUCAGUUACCAAACUAUUUUAAAGCAUUUGAAGAACCUAAUUGUUUAAAAUAAUAAAUAAUUUUGUACAUUUCAAACAUUUACUUAAUGUAAUCUUUGGGCUCCAAUUCUUUUUAUUUUUAUAAUCGUUAGAGAUUGGUGAAAGUUGUUUACUACUAGGAAGAGAAAUAUUUUAAAUUGAGAGUUUGCAUCAGUUCUCCCCAACUAAUUCUCUAUAUUUUGUUAUUAAAUCAAGAUUUAAUAAUUUUUAGAUGUAAAUUUUGAAGUUUUUUAUUAGAUUCUUUUUAUAUUCUCUAAAAAUUUUCACUUGUGAUCAAAUAACACGUGAUGGUAAUAAUUUAUAUGAACACACCUCUAUUUGAUUGUACAUUUUAUUACACUACAUAUAUUUCUACUUUCACAUGUGGAACACUUUACCAACUCAAUGGGUUCUGUUGAAUAGUUAUGUAGGUUCAUCCAUUUUUUUCUUAUUUUGUGGGAUCUCCACCAUGUAGACAUACCAUCUAUUACCAAUAUCAUAUUACACAAUCGUUUGUUAGUAUGCAGAAUUUCAUGGUCAUUUUCUUUUCUUUAUGAAAUUCUUUCUCUUGUCUUCCCAUUUUGCUUUAUCUUAUUGCUCAUUUCAUUUUCUCUACAGAAGCAAAGGGUAUUGUUAACCUUUAUUUUUCAACUGCAAACAAAUUUUACUUUCCUGAAACUUUACUGUUACGUUUUCCAAAAACUGUUUUCCAUUCUAAAUUUUCAAUUUAAAUCUUAUAAAAAGAAAACACAUCUUUGCAGACUAUGUUCCUGGGCAUAUAUCCCUGGAAAACAUAAUGGUAUAAAUUCAGGAAUGUAAUAAUUUACUCAAAAAAUAAUAAGAUGAAAGAAAAUGGAAGACAAGAGGAAGAAUAUCACAAAGAAAAGAUAAGAAAAUGAUCAUAAAAUUCUGCAUAUAAAUAAACUUAUCAUGUAAUAUGACUUUAAUGAAUUGUUAGUAAAUGAAUCUCAUUAAACCCUAAUGGUAAAAUAUCCAAUCACACAAAAUAAGAAGAAAAUGACUGAAUCUAUAUUACAGAACAAUUGAGUUAGUGAAGUGUUGCAUGUUUAAAAGCAGAAGUAUAUUUAGUAUGAUAAAAACAAUUAAAAAUCUUAAAAGAUAUGUGUUCAUCUAAAGUAUGUCAUUAUGCUUUAUGUCCAAACAUCACAUUUUUGAAAAUAUUUUUAACAUUUGAUUAAUUUUUUAAAUAAAGAGUUAACUGGUACUUUAGAGUAAAUAAAUCUUGAUUUACUAUCAUCAAAAUAGGGAAAAAUUGGUGGAAAUAAAUAAUACGAUUGUAUUUAUGUAAAUAUAUACCUUUAUUAGAAUUAAAAUGUUUGACAAAACAUUUUUAUAUCUACACGGUGUAUAAAAAAUAUUGUAUUGUUUAUAAAAACGUCCAUCAACUUCUUUUCUACAAUCUGAUUAUGAAAAUUUUUGUAUUUCACUUUAUGGACGUUAAGAGAAUCAUUAUGUAUGUACUACUCUCUAUGGAUAUAACGUUUUUCAAACUACUCUUACAACUUGAAAUUGAUGGUGUUUCAUUACCUGUAUAGUAAACUUGAAAUUUGCAAUAAAAACUUUGUAGCUAGAUAUUAGGUUAUACAAGUACUAGAAUGAGUCACUCGAUUGCAAGUUAUUUAAUAAAAAUACUGUCUUUUUAUUUAUUUCUCUUUGAAACCUGUUUUAACCAUAAGAGAUAAUACACAUAUAAGCAAAAGUCACCCGCCUAUGCGGAAGAGAUAGGGAAUUCGAGGUUACAUUUGAAGUAUAACCAUUGACGACUCUAUCUCUUUCUCGUUGGAGUGGGAUAAACAUUUUCACUAACACAGCAUCCUAUAGCUUGUUGCCUUUUCUGUAAUGUCUAUAUGGUUAUAACUAUUUCCUCCUUAGGUGCCAUAAGCAUUUAAGUAUAACUAAUUAUCAAACAGUUAGUUAUCAAUAACUAACAACUGUUUGAUAAGAUAAUUAGUUAUAGUUCUAUGGGUAUGAAUGGCACUUAAGGAGGAAAGAGUUAUAACCAUAGAGAUGUCUGUUACAACUUUCAUAUAACAGACGAUAUCUCUAUGGUUAAUAACUCUUUCCUCCUUCGGUGCCCUACGCAUCGAACUAAUAGUUCCCAUUUUCCUUGUAUAUAUUAUUUUAUUAUCUAAAAAAUAAAAUUUAUAAAGAUUCUACUUGUGUUUAAUUUCUAUAGGCAACACUAGCGCUAUCUAGCGGGGAGUAGCCAAACUACGAAAUUUACAUUUACAACAACAUAAAUCAUAUUUUCAUGAUUUACAACCAUCAGGACGACCUAUGACAUUUCUUCAAUGCCCGUUCGGAAAUGACGCGAAUUAUUUCCAAACAGACUAUGACAAGAUCUUAUAUGAAGAAUUUUUCCAAGACAGAAGCGUUAAUGAAUAAAGAAUAAUGGGGCACAUGUUACAGAGAGUAUUUGAAAAUAGUCACAGUUCAAGAAAGGGGCUUUGCAUCAAGUCCCCCUCUUAAAUAGUAAUCACCCACAAAUACCAAGGUAGAUAUUAAAACAGAGGCGUCCUGACAAUUUUUUGUUUUGGACGCCGAAUGCAGUGGCAUGUAAAAAAGGUUUGAAUAGUAGUAUGAAUUGAAUGUUGAGAAACAACCCGUACAGGACGUCUCAGAAAUAAAUAACAUACGCACGCUUCUGUCUUCUAUUCUUUUAUCUGCUAUCCAAAAAGAAGCAUGUUCUUAAGAUGUUUAAUUAUUGUUAAUUAAAAAUAAAUCAUAACUGAGCCUAAAAUACGAUAUUAACGGAUUUUAUUGAUAGUUUGAUUUACUUUUGAUUCAAAAAAAUCAAAUACCUUGGAACUUUGUUCUUUUCGAAUACCUUUUAGGAGAAUGAAGAUGUAAGAUCUUGCUAAGCGUUGAAGAAAUGGUUGCCAAUUUAACAAAAAUCACCACAGCUUCCAAUUACUAAUGGUCGCCGCAAUCAUAUCAUUAAUAUGGUUUCACACAUACACACUCAUACAUUUUUGUCAUUGAACUGUAUAUAGAGGGUUACAAAUGAACAUACCAGCAACUUCCAAUUACUAAUGGUCGUAUUCGAUAUGCCCAUCUCCAAACCUAUGUAUGCGUCUUUGUAUUAUAUACAGAAAAAUACAAAUCAAAGUAAUCAGAGACUUCCAAUUAGUAAUGAUCGUUAUCAUGCUAAGAUAACAGUUUCUUGUGCAUUAUUUGGAAGCUAUCGGUCUUGACGACAUGUGAUUUCAGCUGGACGGUGCCACAUGUCGUAGAACCUAUGAAACAUAAACCAUCUUGCACGAGUUUACUCCUGGUCAUGACAUUUCCCAAUUUGGUGACCAGAAUUGGCUUUCACGCUGUUGUGAUUUAAUGCCUUUACCAUUGAAGCAUUCAAAGGGCAAAAUUAAACGCAGAAUCAUUGAAAUUUCACCACAUGUAUUCAAUAAGAUUAUUGGAAAUUCCAUCAAAAGGGUACGCAUAUGUCAGAAAAGCCAUGGCAUCUAAUUAUAAGAUAUUUUCUCUCAUACAUAGUUCCCAAAUAUUUUAUUGAGCACUGAAAUCUUGAGCUCUCAUUGAAACUCCAAAUCUUAAGUUUUUUGUUGUCAGACUCAAUAGUCUAUCUUUAGAGCCAACUAUUACUUUUGGAAACCAAAUCUAAAUGGGUAAUAUCAAAACCAAGCCCCAAAUACUCACAAUCUAAUGAAUAAUUUAUCGAUCACGAGGAAUGUGAAUCAUUAUAUAGAAAUUUACAAUAAUUUGGUGUAACAUAUGUAUAUAGUAUUUGAACUUACCGAAAUUGUAAAGAACUUCUCCUAUAUCAAUCAAAAAUAACAUUUAUAUUAUUACAUUCGGUUCGCGCCUUGUAAUAAUACAUGUCUACAAAUCGUUGUACUGAAUACACUGUUUAAAUCAAAAAAGAAAUGAAUAUAAACGGGUUUUAUACAAAUUGAAUAUGCAGUAAAAUCAAAUUAACAAUAAAGGUUUCUACACAUUAUACAAAGGUCUUGAGAAGACGAAUUGUUGAAGUUGGAAAAAAACUACAUAUAUAUUGAAAUAAGUUUGGUAGUAAAUAUGUUCAUAAACACAUUAUAGUUCAGAUAAUUCCAAUAUAUUAAUAUUACGAAGCACAUUAUGAAAUUUGUUCUAGUAGCAGCAAUGGCGGAUUUCAUAAGCAUUUCCAUUUUGAACAGAUUAUUGAUAUGAACAACUUGGAAGAAAAAUUAUAUAAAUCUUAACGAGGAAAAUUAUAUUGAUGUUAAAUAAAUGUUACUCACCAUUUUCACUCACUAAAUAUAUAUAAAUAACACUACACAAUCACUAAUAAAGCACCACAACCAACAGGCUCGUUAAAUAUAACCCUAAGA